CUUCACCAAUAUAAGCGGCGUUCCUAAUAUUUUCCCCCUUUUGCUUUCUCAAAGAUUCUGCCUCAGACGAAUUCUUUGGCAACCUAUCUGUGUGAUAAAAUUUGGUGGUUUGAAGAGUGAGAUUGUGAUAGCAAGAUGAAAAAAGUUGGUAAGUUGAAGAAGCCCCCAAAAGUAGAAGACGUUGCAGAACAGGAAAAGAAGGUCUCUAACCAGAAAGGGAAAAGGAAGGGAAGUGAGAUUGAUGAAAUUUUUGCUGCAAAUAAACGCAAGAGAGUGGAAUCGGAGAAGAAGGCUGAGGCCGAAACCAAAGCCAAAUCCAAAGUAGCUGCUGCCAAUUUAAAAAAGAAGGAAAAGAGUAUGAAGAGCCGCUCCUUCGAAUUUUCAGCCGGCACUUCUGGUCCGAGGAAGAGGACUGCCGACGGGCUGGCUGUGUUUUCAGAGGAAGAGCUGGGCAUAGGGAAGCCAGAUGCAGGAGGAACUGCUUUGUGCCCUUUUGAUUGUGGCUGUUGUUUUUGAUGGAUGCUGAUCAAAAUUUGUUAGCUGCUUAAGUAUUUGCUGCUCUUGUAACUUUGAAUGCUAGAAGAUAGAUUGUUGUUAUACAUGAUUUCCAAAUUGAGUCAUCAUUUAUGUGUUUUAGUCUGUGAAAGUGGUGGACUAUGUUUUUUCUGCAAUGUUGAUGAUGCAUUAGCAUUGAUAGCCUUACCGAAACUGAAGGUGCUCGUUUGUAUGGAAUAACCGGCAGCCGUCUGCAGUCUAACUCUAAUUCAAUUGAUCUUUCUUGUUUAUGCAGCGACCAGUUCAUCGUUAACAUGAAUGCAGUAUUGAGGAUUCAAAGAGGCUCUAUAUGUACAUUAAUGGAGAUGUGAGUUCUUCAUUUACAACUUGGUACAUACAUUUUUGACAACACUGGUCAGGUUUGAUAAAUUAAUUUUUCUUGUAUCUCAAGCCUCAUUUUGUUCUUGCCACCAACUUAUAGCAUGUAUUUGAGAACACCUAUUUUCAGACAGAUGAUAUUUGUAAUGAGCUGCAAGAAUAAGAGGCUAUCUUUUCAAGGAGUUGGCUCAGAUUUUGGUCUUGUGCAAGAUUUAAAAGUCAGUGUGCAAAAGAUCAUGGUUUUGAAUAUGGUCUCAUUGAUCGGAUAGUUAGGCCACCCAGUGUUGUCAAAAACGCGCCCGGGGAGCACUCGGGCCGUGGGGCGCAGUCGGCGCGCCCAGGGCGGUGGGAGCAACUAAGGGGGUGCUGUUGGGGCGUGCGUGAAUCCGUUUUUAUGAAGAGGGUAAGCUUAAACUUAUUCCUUUCUAUUAGUA